rnacentral:lncRNA from 1 species
AUUUAUUCCUCUAUGUAGCUUUUUAAAAAACUGGCAAUGUAAGGUGGUUGUAUUUAGUUAUGUUCAUCUGGUCCUCAAAAAGAUGAAUUUCAGGUACAGAAGCUAGGAAAUGAACCCAGCACAAACUAGAUGUACCAUGUGUUUUACCUGUAGUAGAAUAGUUCACCUGGAAGGAACCCACAAUGAUCAGUGUGUCCAACUGCCUGACCACUGCACGGCUAACUGAAAGCUAAAGUGUGUUACUGAGGGCAUUAUCCAAAUGCCUCUUAUUUAAAUAAUUACCACAGUAAUUAAAAGUACCUGAUCUGAGUCCUACAACAAUCAGUUAACUAGAAGCUACUCCACAGCCUCUGGAAUUUCUCUGUCAUCCACAAUAAGAGUGUGAAUAAUUCCUUCCUUUUGUUUUCCACUACUGACAGCAUUAAUGUAACAGCUGUGAUCACCAACACUGAAGUGAGUUUCAGUCCCAUCUUCUACAAAUUCACCCGCUGUCUCCAUUUUUUCACCGUUGCACCACACAUCCAUAGUGUCCUUUUCCAGAACAACUCUAUAGUCUGUACCACCCAAGCUCAGUACCCAAGUAUUGGUUGUUUUUGACCUGUUCUCCAUAUAUUUCUUGAGGCUUUUUCCAUUGAUCUCCAAAGUAUACUCAUAUGCAAAGCCACUGACUGCAUCAAUGUUAAUAGUGGCUCUUGUUUUGGAUACUCCAACAGUGAAUGUUUCUUUACCCACUAAUUUAAACAUCCAUUCUUUUCGUAUUAUUUCCUUUCCGUCAACAUAGACAACACGUUUUCCUGAAGUGGUCCCGUGCUCAAACUCAAUUUUAUGAACACCAUCGCUUAAAGCUACUUCCCAAACAGCCACCAAAUCUGUCAUCUUCUCUAAGUGGCUGUACCGAGACCCGCCUGCCCCGCUCCGGCCGCGCGGGGCCCUCCUCCCCUCCG